GUUGACCUCGGAUCAGGUAGGAAUACCCGCUGAACUUAAGCAUAUCAAUAGGC
rnacentral:rRNA from 1 species